rnacentral:misc_RNA from 1 species
UUUCCGUUGGUGAACCAGCGGAAGGAUCAUUACUGAGAUCAUGCCCUUAACGGGGUAGACCUCCCACCCUGUGUUAUUACGAUUGUCGCUUUGGCAGGCCGCCCUCGGGCGCUCGGCUUCGGCUGAGGCGUGCCUGCCAGAAGACCCAAACCCUGUAUUUAGUGUUGUCCGAGUACUAUUUUAAUACGUUAAAACUUUCAACAACGGAUCUCUUGGUUCUG